AGAUGGCACCAGUGCACUCCAGCCUGGGCAACAGAGCAAGACUCCGUCUCAAAAAAAAAAAAUAAUAAAAAUAAAAUAAAAAAUAACUGUAGAAUGUUCCUUCUGACAGCAAGUAUACACAAGCCUUAUCUUUUUAUGAACCGACUUUGUUUUUUCCUUGCACAAAGUACCUAGCUAAUUAAUACCUGUUGUUUUGUUUUGAUGUGAUUAUGCUUCUCUACCGUACUAAUAGUUGACUUAUGUAAGGAGGCUCCCAAUAGACAUAUAAUGUUUGCUGACUGGCUGAAUACAUCUCCUAAAAACUGCUCGUGUGUUCCUGGGUUUCCUUUAACUGUACAACAAGUGGCUGAAUAAAAACAAGAGAUUUUUACUUUUUUUUUUCUUUUAGAGACAGGGGUCUCAUUAUGUUGCUCAGGCUGGACUCAGACUCCUGGGUUCAAGUGAUCCUUCAGCCUCAGCCUCCCAAAUUGGCUGGGAUUACAUCAAGGUUAAAUCACCAUCUUGACCAUAUGAUUUUUAUAUCUUUUACCAGCAAAGUCUUUUUCAGGAUGUAUAAUUUUAGGUAGAACUCAAGAUAUGAAACAGAUAAAGUGGAAGUACUCUGACUGAAGAAGGGAGGGAAGAGUCCAAGAGCUGUACAUUUUAGCGUUCUCUUUCCCUUUCCCUUACUCCCUCGCUCUCUUCUUCUCCUCACCCACUCCCUACCUUCUGCCCCCCACCCUAGAAGUCACUUCAGUUAUCUCCACGGAGAUUUGUUUGUCCAGAGUGUGAAACUCCUUGAAAAGGUAAUCUUUCACUUCCUUUUCUUUUUAGCUCAAAUUUUCCUUGAGUCUAUGCUAGAAAAUAACACAAGCAAACCAUUGCAUCUAAACUGUCUAUUCUGACAACUAUUGUAUUUUCAUUUUUUUCUUUUUAUACAGUACUCAGUAGUUCACACUUUGGUUUUAAUCUUUAUAAUUUACCUUAGAAAGCAUAUUACAUGUACUCUCAGUAAGUUUCACAACAUUCUUUUAUAUAUGAAAAACUGUUAUUGCAAAUAUAAUGGACUCCCAUAUAGAUAUACUCAGUAAAUCCAGAUAUCCAGUACAAUAAAGCUAUAUAUCAUACAGUUUACAAGAGUUAAAUUUUUAAAUCUGUACUGUCUAAACUUUGCUACUAACUUAGGUAGUUACAACUAAGAUAUCCUUUUUCACAAGCAAAUGCCACCUGAGGACACAUUUUGUCACCUUAUCUAUUUCAGGGAAAGAAAAUGUGUUUAAAAAUGGAUGGGAGCUAUAAAAUAAUCAUUAGAAAACUUCUUGUGUAACACAGGUUAAGCCGCUUAUGUAACACAGGUGACUAUAAAUUGUUUCCAUAAUUACCACACUGCAUAAUUUACAACAAAUUUAUUACAUUGACUAUUCUUAUUUUGCUAAAAGCACUACUUCUACAACUUAUGUCUCAAAUCUAAGAACAAAGAACAUAAAGUUUUCUUUUCAAAACAGAAAUUGGCAAUCUACCUGAAAGAUCCUGAAAUUCAGGCUUUUGACUGAAGAUGAGGUAGUUAGUAGCAAUGAAAUGAAGUAGCCAGGUUGAAAGGCAAUCAGAGUGGUGAAACUGCAAGAAAAAUGAAAAGUGAAACAACAUUGCACAUAAUGGCCACCAGUAUGAUGAUUAGAUCAAGAGAACGGCCUGGGAGCAAUCACGGAGAGCCCAUAUUCAUGUUUAAUGUGCCUUUACCUGAUGCAGCUUUCAGUCUACUAUGACAGUAGACAGGAUGAGGGAGCACUAUUAACAGAUAACGUUAAAAGUACAUUCUCGGAAGAAGCCAAACCAACAGCGAAUAACAAUCUAUGGCUGCCGGAGUGGCCAAACAUCUUUAAGCAAUGCAUGGCUGCAUCUGUUUGAGGUUCUUAAAGAUUUAAUUUAAGCUUUUAAUCUAAAGCCACGGACGUCACUAACUGCACCUGUAUCUGUGUAGCAGAUGAUGGUGAGCAAUGUUGAAACAAGUUCACCUGAGGAGCAAGUCAAAACAUAUUUUGGGAAGGAAACACCAUCGGUCGAAGGCAUGGGUUUCAAUGUGUAAAUGUUUCUAAGAGAAAGCUGUGUCUAAAUAUUUGCUUUUAAUGAUAUGUACAGUAAACUGAGCAGGAUUUCCAGCUCCAUUCUCCUCAUUCUGAGUUCCAACAGUUGCUAAUGGAGGGAAAACUCCAAGCAAGCAGGCCACCGACAUCAUCACCUUGGUGUCCAUGUAGUGACACUCACUGAUCCAUCCAACCACCAACGCAGAUGACUUGCUGGCAGGCAACUUUGGUCAACUAUAUCAAGGUUCAUGGAUGCCAGUUCCCUGCUUGGCAUGCUCUGCAGCUGCGUAAUGAUGAACAGCUCACAGAUGUGCUGCAGUCUGGACACCUGGUACAUCUCGGCACAGAUCAGGAGACACAUGGCCUGGAAUAUGCCAGCUGGGUGCUUGACCAGAUUCUCUAAUCAAGGUCUCAGUCUCCAGAACUGAGCUCCAUGGAGCUGAAUCUAGCUGUGCUUGUGAUGGGAGCCAUCUGGUGGCCAAAGGCUGAAGACUACUCACAGAGGACUUCCCUGCCAGCAUCCCAAGCAAGGCUCCAGGCCUGUAGAAAAAAUUUUACUAUUUCUUCAAGUGCCUCCAGCUAGAAGAACCCUGCUGGAUCUGUUCCAACCUAGAGCUGCCACAGAUGUUUGGUUCCUGGUCAAAGAUAGUCCUUGGUCAGUGAAUUUGGAAAUGAAUCCACUGGGCAUUCUAAACAUCUCAAGACAAGUUUUCAGAGAAGUCAGUUUGAGGAGUUUCUGACUUUAGCAGAAGUCAGAAGGAGGCCUUUACAAAUCCUACAUCCUCUGGGCCAAAAAGAAGACCAAAAAAGUCUAGGAAUAUUGAAAGUCCUUAAAAGUGACCCAAUCAGAAGUCACAGCCAUCAUAGCAGUUGCACAACCCUCCUCUUCUUGUGGACGAGACAGUGCUUCAAGUAACAAUCUGCCCCAAUCUCUAGAAUUAGAGUAGCCAUGGGUACCACAAGACACCUUCAUUUCUGGGUGCCUACAGUGAUCCCCACGCUGUAGGUGCUGGCUGGGGCAUGUGAACUUGUGCCGGCAUUGGAGAUCCAUAAAAGGCACCCAAUUACUGCACCUCCACUUGAACUGAAUGAAAAUUCAUUGUUGUUCCAGCACCACCUCUAACUGCUUAGUACAUUCCAUGAUGUCAACUAAUAAAUCUUAAAUGAAAAUAGAUUCCACAGAAUGCAAUUUAACAAAAUGGGUGGCAAGGAAAGAAACAAUUAUAAGAUACUAUCAACAUUUGUAUUGCUAACCUGGGCAGCAGGAGUCUGUGUACAGGUAUUCUAAAAACGACAAGAAAGUCUCUUUGGAAACACCAUAAACGGGAAUCAGGACACUCUUUGCUUCCAUGUAAUUACCAUUAAACAUGGCUGCCAUCACUUCACAACGGGCCACCAGGAUGGCCCUGUGGGCUGGCACUGUCGUACCUGAAAGGUUCAAAAGGGGAACAAGAAACAAGUGAGAUAAACCCGCAGGGUUAUUCCAGCAAUUUUCCUUCUAAUUAGACUACUACAUUAGGGACAGCCAGGCUGAUAUGCUGAAUCUAAAUUUGGGAGUGAUAACUACCAUUAAUCCAGAAACUUCUUAAUUUUAAAGGGAGCAAUAAAGAAAGUUCAGAUGUUGACCUUGAAACCAACAAUUUGCAAGUCAGACAACUAUUUGUCACUUGGUUUGUAUUUCCAGAAAUAGAAACACUGAACUAUUUUGCUUCAUAUUUUUAUAAUGAAACAUCAAUCCUUUCCAAUUGGCUUGAAAUACUAAUAAUACUACCCAUGCCCAUGUGCUUCCCAAGAAAACAACCCCAUUACCCUUCUGGGCCUGACUCACAGAACCGUCUUGGCCACGCUUCCCCUUAUCUGAAAAGGGAAACUGUAAGAAGCAAACCAUAAGCAGUCCACACACCACAGUAGGAAUAGCAAGAGGAUCUCUCGUGGAGCCGAGGACAGCAUUCCAGACUUAAUGAAAAUCUGGAAGAGGAUGACUUUAAUCCCUGCAGUCUCCCCAGCACACUACUUCCCCAGGCAACCAUUCUGUCUCACAGGAUCAAUGCCUGCUGCUGGGAGAGCCAGCGCUAUGUUGAAUUUUGAGGGCCCUCUCAGCCCAUAUUGCUCACUGAACACACUGAACUGAACUGACUCUCUAGGAAAAGCUUGCUAGGCUUUCUAGCUACUGCUGCACCACACAAAGGCAGCGCUGGAUAGGGCCACAGGUGGCCGGGGCUCUCCACUUCCACCACCUUAGGAAACCACGAGUACACACUGCCAGUCUUCAGUUCAGCCUGGAUCACUUCAACAGAUUAUUACUGAGCAUCAGCAUGUGCCAAUCAUUGCAUUUGGAACUGAACAUACAAAGAGGAGGAAGACAAAGCUACCUCCGCUUUGGAGCAGUUUUUACUUUCGUGGAAGACACCACAGCCAGUGUGGGUGACAAAGCUGUCGCAUUCCAGAAAGUAACUCUCCAACCAAACUAAACCACUCAGCCCUGCCCAAGAAUUUAUCUACAUAUCUCUAAAACCUAGUACUUAUCAGGGUUAUAUAGUCUUCUCUAAAGCAUUUACAAUUAUUGGGUUCUUCAACCCUUUUAAAUCCAAGCAAACCAUCUCCUGACUCACGAAAGAAGAAAAAGAGUUACAUCUAAGCCCAGUGGCUUUUUCCAAAGCCAAUAAUCACUCAGGAUCUACAAGCAACACCUGGCACUGCCAGCUUUGAGUCUACUGCUUGGCACUGCGAUUUGCACAGCUACAACUACCCGAGGAGCAGGGAAGGAACUUGUGUAGCCCUCCCACCCAGUCAACACUCACCUCCCGGCAGGCACACUCCCUUCCUCUCCUCACUGUGACAGUGUCCCUCCACCAGGAAGGACCAGUUUCCAUAAUUAAAGCAUGUUGGCUAUAUCUGUAUGCAGCAGUUAAUAAAGAAUACAAACAGGUAAUGCCAUUUGACUUGUAAUUGUAAGGUUUUAAAAUGUUAAAGAUAAAUAGGGCACUAUUUUUUUAAUAAUUAGAAGCAUGACUUCA